UUAAGAGCAUGUUUAUCAGCAGCCCUUAAGCUGGUAUCUUAGGUCUAGUUGCAUUAAAAAUAAAAGAAAAACAUGAAUUAAACUAAGUUCCGUCCCUUAAUUAAGGGAGCGAAGGCACGUCCCUUACGAGCCACGUGUCUAUUGUUCAUUGGAUUGAGGAGAAGUGGGUCUGUCGGUUUGGUCUCUUUUCUUUUUUUCCUUCUUUUUCUUUUCCUUCGCUCCUCUCUGCGUUCGUCGAUUUCUCUUCUUCAAGGAGCUUCUCCUCAACGAAACGUCGGCGCUCCCGAAGGCUCUUGUCGAUGAUGGAAAUCGGCGUCCCCUCUAUCAGUUUCUGUCUUCGACCAAGAAAAACGACGAGAUCUAAAACUCGUGGUGGCUGUCGGAGACGAAGGAGAACGGUGACUGUUUCAAGCGAAUCGAAAGGUCAAACCUUUCUCUCUGCCAGACGAAACCCCCCGAGAUUUUUUAUAAAGAUUGGAAGAACAAGAGGCAUGCUAAGGUUAAGGGAGGAUGAAGAAACUACAGAGUGAUGGUUUCUCGGGCACCGUUGCAUUGUCUUGUGAUAGUAUCUCAAACACAUACCAAUUGUUAAUCAAGGUAAAAGCUAUAGUUGAAGUGAAGUGGUGAAAGCACCGUGAUUUGAUAAAUGGUGAAAGGUUUGUGAUUUUCAGAAGAAGAGUAUAGUUGUUGUUGUUGUAGUCUUGUGUAGUCAGUCACGAGAGAUGUAGUUGUUGUGUGUGUGUAGUCAUGAGAAAUGUAUGUGUGUGUGUGUCACGAGAGAUGUAGUUGUUGUGUGUGUGUUCUCGUUGUAGUCUUGUGUCACAAGACACCCUUUUAAUUCACGAGACACACUUGUAAUUCAUAAACAAACUUUAUAAAUCAGAUACCAUUCUUCUC